ACUGCGGUCUCCGAAAAGCAAACAGAGUAGGAA
rnacentral:ncRNA from 1 species